AAAUGAGUCACCUGGUCCCUAGCCUAGAAAUCUAGACGCACCCUAACGGCAGCAAAUGUAAUCUGCAGCCAGGGCGGUCUAGCAACUCUCCGUUGGCUAGCGAGCUGUAAAAG